AGAGAGAGACAUGCGUGCAUAUCAAUAAGCGGAGGAAAAGAAACUAACAAGGAUUCCCCUAGUAACGGCGAGUGAAGCGGGAAGAGCUCAAAUUUGAAAUCUUAAAGGGUUUCCCUUUACGAAUUGUAGUUUAAAGAAGUGUUUUCUGUUGAGGUUUUGGUAAAGUUCUUUGGAAUAGGACAUCAUAGAGGGUGAGAAUCCCGUAUUUGACCUUUACUUUCAACUUUGUGAUACACUUUCAAAGAGUCGGAUUGUUUGGGAAUGCAGUCCAAAAUGGGUGGUAAAUUUCAUCUAAAGCUAAAUAUUGGCGAGAGACCGAUAGCGAACAAGUACCGUGAGGGAAAGAUGAAAAGAACUUUGAAAAGAGAGUUAAACAGUACGUGAAAUUGUCAAAAGGGAAGCGUUUGACACCAGUGUUGUUUUUCUGAAAAUCAAUUAAAGAACUGUUUAUGCUAAGUUGUUUAGACUUUAUCAGCUAUCUGUUUAGUUUUGAGCUUUUCUUUAAUGCACUUUUCAGUUAACAAGUCAACAUCAAUUUCUUUUGCUGUAAAAAAGCUUGAGGAAGGUGGCUUGAGAUUCGUCUUAAGUGUUUAUAGCCUCUUGCCUAUGCAGUCGGAGAGAUUGAGGUCUGCAGCGUAGAUCCUUCGGGGCUAAAUGCAUUUGUGCUAAGUUAUAGCAUUUUAUAGACAACUUGUUGACUAUGAUUUGUCUUGUAGCUUACUCGCUUAUGUUAUUUUACCUACGCUUAGGAUGUUGAGCGCAUGUCUCUCUCU
rnacentral:rRNA from 1 species